CCUGGAUGCUUCACCUGCAUAUCGAGAACCUUGGCUUCCACAACCCCACUUACGUUAACCUCACGCAUUUCUUUUUUUUUUUGAGACGGAGUUUCGCUCACGUUACCCAGGCUGCAGUGCAAUGGCGCGAUCUGGGCUCACCACAACCUCCGCCCCCCGGGUUCAGGCAAUUCUCCUGCCUCAGCCUCCUGAGCAGCUGGGAUUACAGGAAGAUGGGCAUCCUCGGUGCAGAACCUGGCAGCCUCUAGUUUUAGGAGCUGGACAUAGAGUGCAGACCUAAAGUUACAACGGACACGUCCUUUUUUAAGCAGAUAGGCACCUUUGAAGGGCUGCAAGGCUUCAGGAUGUCUGGUGUCUCUUGCCUCUCUGUGGAGGUCUGGCACAUGGAUGAUUAUUUGGCACAAGACCGUAAAGUGCUGACUAAGCGGUUGGGUGAAAAGAUGCCCGUGUUGUGCGACUGUCUCAAUGUCUAACCUUCCCCCUGGCAUCACAAGUUUGCAGGUCCUGACAUGUUUUAUUUCCACUACAUACUCUGUCUUGGGAUGAGGAUGACUGCUGGAGUGUGUCUUGCUCUUGGGGCGAGUACCCAUGGCACCCCUUCAUACCUGAGGUUCAGCUACCACCAGGCCACCCUUCCUGGUGGCCCAACAUCCCAAGCUGAGCUGUGAGCAGCUGUUACGCCCUUUCCCUUGGGGCCAAGCAGUGAUGGAGUGGGUCCACCUCUCUCUCUCCCCCUCCCCAAAAGCUCCAGGCCUGAACUGAAAUUACACAUUCCCCCCUGAAGAAACAGUGCUUAGGAAAAACCACUUUGCCUACAUGUCUCAGCUGUGGCCCGGCCCUGCCCUGAGGGGCCCCUUGGCUGGAGCUGAAACCACACACUCCCUCCAAUGAUGCUUUGACAGUGGCUCCAUGUACCUCUCCUGGUCAAGGCCGCACCCUGUCCCAUGGGACUGGAAUAGAAGCUGUACACUGCUUCCCAAGGAUAGGACACAGGGCUUUGUGGGAGACGUUCCAUGCCCCUCCCAGUCACUGCUGAGCCCUGCCCCUCAACACCAGGCACCCCAGAGAAACAGUGCCCUGGCUCCCCAGAGCAGUCACACGUCCCUAGUUCCUAUGUUGAAGUAGUGUCCUGACUCCCAGGAAGUGGUGCUGUUGCCACCCAGGGUGCAGGUGCACCCUAGGACCCAAGCUGC
rnacentral:lncRNA from 13 species